UACGUAGGGUGCAAGCGUUGUUCGGAUUUACUGGGCGUAAAGGGCGCGUAGGCGGCCACCGCAAGUCGACUGUGAAAUCUCCGGGCUUAACCCGGAAAGGUCAGCUGAUACUGCAGGGCUAGAGUGCAGAAGGGGCAACUGGAAUUCUCGGUGUAGCGGUGAAAUGCGUAGAUAUCGAGAGGAACACCUGCGGCGAAGGCGGGUUGCUGGGCUGACACUGACGCUGACAGCGCGAAAGCUAGGGGAGCGAACGGG
rnacentral:rRNA from 1 species